rnacentral:rRNA from 1 species
UACGUAGGGUGCGAGCGUUAAUCGGAAUUACUGGGCGUAAAGCGUGCGCAGGCGGUUUUGUAAGCCAGAUGUGAAAUCCCCGGGCUCAACCUGGAAUGGCAUUUGGGACUGCAAGGCUGGAGUACGGCAGAGGAGACUGGAAUUCCUGGUGUAGCAGUGAAAUGCGUAGAUAUCAGGAGGAAUACCGAUGGCGAAGGCAGGUCUCUGGGCUGAUACUGACGCUUAUGCACGUAAAGCGUGGGAG